AACUCAAUAUUUCACGCAUAAUAGACGCUGAGGAGCAGAAAGUAUCCAUGAAAGUUUGAAACCUACCUACCAUUAUGGCUGUGAUUUAUUGUUUAAUACUCAUCUGAAGUGAUGCGUGUUACCAGACCAAGUGACAUUGUCACUCAUCCUUCUUCUCCACUUUAGAUUUUGCUGCAGAUUUAGAUUUGUAGGGGCUAGCACUGUAUGCAGACAUCUGAAUCAUCGCAAAGAAAACCAUCUCCACACAAACUAGAGUAUUUUGUAAGGCUUCAUUUAUGUGUUCAACAUCAAACCAGGCAUGUUCUGCUUUGAUUAUGCCCACUGCAGCAAGCAUCUCAAGAACGAUUCCCUG
rnacentral:misc_RNA from 1 species